UUGAAUAAACCUAGUGAGUUGUUGCUGGCUCCUUGGAGCAUGUGCACACUUGCUGUUUUUAUAUCUCCACCUGUGCACUUUUUGUAGACAUGGAUAACUCUCGAGGAAACUCGGUUUGAGGACUGCUGGUUUUGCAUGAAGUCGGCUUUCCUUACAUUUCCUGUCUAUGUUUUCAUAUACUCUUAUAAUGUUAUAGAAUGUCUAUUUUAUGGGCUUUAUUGCCUUUAAAUUAUAUA
rnacentral:misc_RNA from 1 species